UUACAACGAGGUUCACAACAAACAUCAGUACAAAAUAAGCUAUCUGAAAACAGAAAUAUUUCUAACUAAUUACAACAAUCAAAUUGAUGUCAUCUCGACCGAACAUCAUUUCCCUAGCAUCCUUAUCAGUCUUCAUUCGCACCCAACCAAAGAUACUGUCGAGUAUCUCAAUACUUCUAAUUUUUCCCCUUCUGGUAUUUUUCCAUCUAACCAACGAACCAGCUCCCUCUUCAG
rnacentral:lncRNA from 1 species